AGAUGAAGUUUCUGUGCUCUACAUCAGAAUUAGACCUAAGACUGAAAUGUAAAUGUGAGUCCAGGCACUUCGGAACUGCUUUUGCUAAAAAGAAUGGAGAAACCUGACCUGAUAUCUGAACUUUUGACUUUGGUUCAGACUCCUGCUUUCUGCCUCCUGGACAUGUCAAUCAUCUGUCCUCCUAACUUAGCUCUUUCCCCUGCAAGGUUGAAGGCACAGGGAUAGGUCUUUGUCUUAAACUGACAGACAUCUUGGAUUCCAGGAAGAGCAAGCCUCAAAAAACAGACAGACUGCAUGCAGAUGAGAACAAUGGUUUAUGAGUGGGAGGACACAGGUAGAGCAGAAGUGAUUGAUGUCUUGUGAGAACCAGAUGAAUCUCUUUGAGAAAGGAUACCAAUAACAACUUCAGAACACUCUGGAGAACCAGGAUGGAGACAAUAACCAACUAGAUCACGCCUUGACCCUGAGUCUUCAUCAUGCAGACCUCUUGCUCCUUGCCCUAGUCUUACUCUACUGAACUCUAAAAUUAGAGCCCUAAAGAUGAACUUGGGGGAUCACUAAACCCCUUUAUUUGUUCCUUUUGAAA